CAAAAUCACUGUGUGUCUGAGAAACCAAGUGAAAGCUGUUCCUGCUGUUGUCUCUCCUGAUUACAUAGAAUUGGUCUUGCCAAGCAGGGGCACAGGAGACAUACCAUAUGGAGAAUUAGGACACAGGAAGCAACUUGCUGAAGGUCAGGCAAGAAGCCUGUGGAAGAACUAGAAACUGACCUCAUUUCUCCUGAGUUCCGGUCCACUGCUUUAAUCAAAAGAUCAAUCCUUUGGAGAGUUAAUUCUUCUGGAGAUUUUAAAUGUUGCUGCUAUAAGAUUGAGUCUUCCUAGAUGAGAUUGGAACUUCUGUGGGGAGACCAACCUCGGAAUAUGAGAAAUCCUGUGACACAGGGAAGGUAUGGACAAUUGGGGAAGAUUUAAGCAUCUGAAGAAAGGCUGCACAACAACAAAUUUCUUUGUUUCCAGGGGAAAUUCUGUAUACAGUUACAUAGAUUAUUUAUGGCAACAGAUCUUGCAAAUACAUUAUGUGACAGACAUGGAGAGAUAACAUAAGGGUUAAGUCAAUUUUCUGCAUUUGCUAUGAAAUGGCUUUGAAAGGUGAGGUAAUUAGUGCUCCACAAGCGGGAGGGGCAUGGUCAUUUUAGAAAACAGCCCUGCUGCCUUUCAGCCAAAAAUGCCAUUGAGGCUAUUAUCAUGAUCUAUUGUUUGUGUUGCACUAACACCUGAGAUAUGGCUACACAGGAGCUGGGAGUGAGCCUCCCAGCCCAGGUAGACAGACUCGUGGUAGCCUGACUCACGCUAAUGUGCUAAAAAUAGUAGUGACACUGCUACAGCUUGGGCUUCUCAAGCCCACCCGAACCCCUGGCUCUGAACUCAGCUAGCUAGUUCAAGUACCCUCUACAGCCACAACAUCCUCACUGUUAUUUUUAGCCUGCUAGCUUCCUAGCCUGCCUACCCAGACUGGGAGGCUCCUACGGUGUAGCCGUACCCCCUAAAGGCCCCAAAUAGGUUGGGGCCCUGUUACACUAGAAGCUGUACAGACAAGCUCCAGGCUCAAAGGCCCAGAUCCUCAAAGCUAUUA